CCGUCACCGCGUUGUUCGCAAAAUUCGUACAUGAAAGCUUUUUCUGAAGCGGAAGCUACUUCUUUAGGGAAAGAAAAACGGGGAACCGAUGGAGACCCGAAUUAAAGUUCAAGAGGUCUGUUUCGUGGUUGCCCACUCAUCACGCUACGCUACGAUCCCAACACCGUAACCAACCGAAAAACCCGCAAACGCAACAACAUCCUAUGGUACAACCCGCCCUUCAGCAAGAACACCAGCACCAACAUCGGCCACAGAUUCCUCACCCUGAUAGACAAGCACUUCCCGAAAGACAACCACCUCCGUAAAAUCUUCAACAGAAACACCAUCAAAAUCAGUUACAGCUGCAUGAACAACACCAAACAGAUCAUCGACAACCACAACAAGCGCAUCAUCACCGCAUCGUCGGCCACCGAGAUCGCCAACUCCGCCCCUACCACUACCAACAA